UUCCUAAACAGUUCGCAAGCUAGAAACCAA
rnacentral:piRNA from 1 species